GGUGAACGCUGGCGGCGUGCUUGACACAUGCAAGUCGAACGGUAUGUGGCAACACAUAGAGUGGCGAACGGGUGAGUAACACGUGGGAACGUACCUUCUGCAGGGGGAUAACUGACCGAAAGGACAGCUAAUACCGCAUAAGACCGAGAGGAGAAAGGUGCAACAGCAUCGGCAGAGGAGCGGCCCGCGGACCAUCAGCUAGUUGGUGGGGUAAGAGCCUACCAAGGCAACGACGGAUAGCCGGCGUGAGAGCGUGGCCGGCCACAAGGACACUGAGAUACGGGUCCUACUCCUACGGGAGGCAGCAGUGCGGAAUUUUAGAUAAUGGAGGCAACUCUGAUCUAGCGACGCCGCGUGCAGGAAGAAGGUCUUCGGAUUGUAAACUGCUGUGGUAAGGGAAAAAUGCCAUGUAGAGUGGAAAGCUACAUGGAGGGAUGGUACUUUACUAGAAAGCCCCGGCUAACUACGUGCCAGCAGCCGCGGUAAUACGUAGGGGGCGAGCGUUACCCGGAAUCACUGGGCGUAAAGGGAGCGUAGGUGGCCUGACAUGUCGACUGUGAAAACCCGGAGCUCAACUCCGGACUUGCAGUUGAAACUGCCAGGCUUGAGGACGGUAGAGGAAGACGGAACUGCCAGUGUAGGGGUAAAAUCCUUAGAUAUUGGCAGGAACGCCGGUGACGAAGGUGGUUUUCUGGGCCGGUUCUGACACUGAUGCUCGAAAGCCAGGGGAGCGAACGGGAUUAGAUACCCCGGUAGUCCUGGCCCUAAACGAUGUUCACUAGGUGUGGGGAGCGGAAAGCUUUCCGUGCUAAAGCUAACGCGAUAAGUGAACCGCCUGGGGAGUACGCCCGCAAGGGUGAAACUCAAAGGAAUUGACGGGGGCCCGCACAAGCGGUGGAGCGUGUGGUUUAAUUCGAUGCUAAGCGAAGGACCUUACCAAGGUUUGACAU
rnacentral:rRNA from 1 species